rnacentral:rRNA from 1 species
AGCGUGUAGGUGUGUGUUCCAGGUAAAUCCGGUUCACUUUAACACUGAGGCGUGACGACGAGGCACUACGGUGCUGAAGCAACAAAUGCCCUGCUUCCAGGAAAAGCCUCUAAGCAUCAGGUAACAUCAAAUCGUACCCCAAACCGACACAGGUGGUCAGGUAGAGAAUACCAAGGCGCUUGAGAGAACUCGGGUGAAGGAACUAGGCAAAAUGGUGCCGUAACUUCGGGAGAAGGCACGCUGACACGUAGGUGAAGUGAUUUACUCAUGGAGCUGAAGUCAGUCGAAGAUACCAGCUGGCUGCAACUGUUUAUUAAAAACACAGCACUGUGCAAACACGAAAGUGGACGUAUACGGUGUGACGCCUGCCCGGUGCCGGAAGGUUAAUUGAUGGGGUCAGCGCAAGCGAAGCUCCUGAUCGAAGCCCCGGUAAACGGCGGCCGUAACUAUAACGGUCCUAAGGUAGCGAAAUUCCUUGUCGGGUAAGUUCCGACCUGCACGAAUGGCGUAAUGAUGGCCAGGCUGUCUCCACCCGAGACUCAGUGAAAUUGAACUCGCUGUGAAGAUGCAGUGUACCCGCGGCAAGACGGAAAGACCCCGUGAACCUUUACUAUAGCUUGACACUGAACAUUGAGCCUUGAUGUGUAGGAUAGGUGGGAGGCUUUGAAGUGUGGACGCCAGUCUGCAUGGAGCCGACCUUGAAAUACCACCCUUUAAUGUUUGAUGUUCUAACGUGGACCCGUUACCCGGGUUGCGGACAGUGUCUGGUGGGUAGUUUGACUGGGGCGGUCUCCUCCUAAAGAGUAACGGAGGAGCACGAAGGUUGGCUAAUCCUGGUCGGACAUCAGGAGGUUAGUGCAAUGGCAUAAGCCAGCUUGACUGCGAGCGUGACGGCGCGAGCAGGUGCGAAAGCAGGUCAUAGUGAUCCGGUGGUUCUGAAUGGAAGGGCCAUCGCUCAACGGAUAAAAGGUACUCCGGGGAUAACAGGCUGAUACCGCCCAAGAGUUCAUAUCGACGGCGGUGUUUGGCACCUCGAUGUCGGCUCAUCACAUCCUGGGGCUGAAGUAGGUCCCAAGGGUAUGGCUGUUCGCCAUUUAAAGUGGUACGCGAGCUGGGUUUAGAACGUCGUGAGACAGUUCGGUCCCUAUCUGCCGUGGGCGCUGGAGAACUGAGGGGGGCUGCUCCUAGUACGAGAGGACCGGAGUGGACGCAUCACUGGUGUUCGGGUUGUCAUGCCAAUGGCACUGCCCGGUAGCUAAAUGCGGAAGAGAUAAGUGCUGAAAGCAUCUAAGCACGAAACUUGCCCCGAG